rnacentral:rRNA from 1 species
GACGAACGCUGGCGGCGUGCUUAACACAUGCAAGUCGAACGGAAAGGCCCUGCUUUUGUGGGGUGCUCGAGUGGCGAACGGGUGAGUAACACGUGAGUAACCUGACCUUGACUUGGGGAUAACUUCAGGGAACUGGGGCUAAUACCGGAUAGGAGCUCCUGCUGCAUGGUGGGGGUUGGAAAGUUUCGGCGGUUGGGGAUGGACUCCCGGCUUAUCAGCUUGUUGGUGGGGUAGUGGCUUACCAAGGCUUGGACGGGUAGCCGGCCCGAGAGGGUGACCGGACACAUGGGGAUUGAGAUAAGGCACAGACUCCUACGGGCUGAAGCAGUGGGGAAGAUGGCAGAAGGGGCGGAAGGCUGAUGCAGCAACGCCGCGUGCGGGAUGACGGCCUUCGGGUGGGAAACCGCGUUCGCCUGUGACGAAGCGUGAGUGACGGUAAUGGGUAAAGAAGCACGGGCUAGCUACGUG